UGUCGGGUAUGAAUGAAAGCUCUCUGACUGUGGAUAUCCCGCAGGAGAACUGCGAGGAACGCGUGCUCGCGUCGAAAAUCCUGGGUUGUGCGAGUGUAGCGGCAUUACCCAGAAAUAGCAGCUUAAAUUAUUAUAGGUUUUCUGGGUCGGCUACUUCAUCCGGGGUCCCCGUAUUGAUAACUGUCGAACUUAAGGAGUAUGGAAAAGAGAGUAGGAUUACGGUGAAUUGCGAAAAAAUGACAAUCAAUUCAAUUUUGGCGAAAGAACUGGUCGCCGCUGUGGGAAAAGUAUGAUACAUUCGCCACCGAAUGAUAACUCUGUAUAAUCAUUAGCUGCUUUAUCAAACCAAGAAUGAUUUAAUAUGUAUAUAAGAAAAAUGA